rnacentral:rRNA from 1 species
CCCUUAGAUGUUCUGGGCCGCACGCGCGCUACACUGACAGGGCCAACGAGUUCAUCACCUUGGCCGGAAGGUCUGGGUAAUCUUGUUAAACCCUGUCGUGCUGGGGAUAGAGCAUUGCAAUUAUUGCUCUUCAACGAGGAAUGCCUAGUAAGCGCAUGUCAUCAGCAUGCGUUGAUUACGUCCCUGCCCUUUGUACACACCGCCCGUCGCUACUACCGAUUGAAUGGCUCAGUGAGGCCUUCGGACUGGCCCAGGGAGGUCGGCAACGACCACCCAGGGCCGGAAAGUUGGUCAAACUCGGUCAUUUAGAGGAAGUAAAAGUCGCAACA